CUCUUACUAAUAAACCC
rnacentral:tRNA from 1 species